CAAAGGAAACGUGCCAUUGUCAUAUAAAAGAAAAAUCAUCCAAAUACUUUAUAUUCUCACAACGCAAGUGGCAUUUACAAUGCGAAGUUGAAAAGAAAAAUGAAUUCCCUACUAGAAAUGGAAAGGGGAUUGUAGAGGUGCAUUUUCUAUAAUUGGAGAAUCCCGUUGAACGUCGGUUAGACUAAAAUGUUAAUACAGAUGGAAAUUU